rnacentral:rRNA from 1 species
GACGAACGCUGGCGGCGUGCUUAACACAUGCAAGUCGAACGAAGAGCGAUGGAAGCUUGCUUCUAUCAAUCUUAGUGGCGAACGGGUGAGUAACGCGUAAUCAACCUGCCCUUCAGAGGGGGACAACAGUUGGAAACGACUGCUAAUACCGCAUACGAUCUAAUCUCGGCAUCGAGGAUAGAUGAAAGGUGGCCUCUACAUGUAAGCUAUCACUGAAGGAGGGGAUUGCGUCUGAUUAGCUAGUUGGAGGGGUAACGGCCCACCAAGGCGAUGGUCAGUAGCCGGACUGAGAGGAGGAACGGCCACAUUGGGACUGAGACACGGCCCAGACUCCUACGGGAGGCAGCAGUGGGGAAUCUUCCGCAAUGGACGAAAGUCUGACGGAGCAACGCCGCGUGAGUGAUGACGGCCUUCGGGUUGUAAAGCUCUGUUAAUCGGGACGAAAGGCCUUCUUGCGAAUAGUGAGAAGGAUUGACGGUACCGGAAUAGAAAGCCACGGCUAACUACGUG